AACACAAAACUGGUUGGAACCGGUUUCGUUCUUAUAUUUCAGGGUAUAAACUACAAAAACAUUCGUUUGCAUUAUACAUUCGCCAUUUUACGCAGCGACUUGACGGUUGUUGUGUGUUAUCUCUACGUUUUUACGGUUCUAUUUUUGUGAGCGUUCCGCUAUUUUCCUACCGACAACAUGGUCAAGUCAAAGUAUGCUAUCGUGGAGCGGAGAACUUCCCCGCGGCUGGCUCUGAGAACCCAACCUAAUGUUGCAUCGGAGACUAAGAAAAAAUCUGCCACAAAAAAGGCACCCAAGGCGAAGAAGACCAAACCAGCUGAAAAUGGAAGCACCAAGGCUGAGGAGCCAAAGGCCGAAGCCACUGAAGCCAAAUGAAUAACGAUGCGCUCACUCUGUGUACUUGGUGAUUGUACAGUUUCAAAUAAGUAUUUUUUACCAAGUUUUAUAUUACAAAUGUCAUUUAUAGGUUUGUUUUGGGCUUGCACUUGAUGUAACAAAAGUUUGUUGUCACAUUCAUAUCCAUUUAAUAUCCAUUUAAAAAUGAUUACCGUCCAUAUCUUGUAGACGUGGCAUUUUUAGUCGGUUUAAUCCUGUUUGUUUCUUUUUUUACUUUUUUUUUUAACUGCUGAGUAAUAGAUAUCUUCCAACAAGUUGGAAUCUGAAUCUAAUUUUAAACAUUAUAAGGCAGCUAAAGCAUAUUGUUAAAAUUUGAGGGAGGAUAGGAAUUUUGCCUUUUAUCUCCUUGUAUUUUAAUGUUAAACUAAUAAGAAAUUGCUUACCAAAUGUUUUUGAAACACUGUAUGUUGACACGCUUUCCAGUCAGUAAAAAUACCACACAAAAAAUACUGUUAUUAGGUCAAAAAGAUUGAUACAUCCCAAAAAACAUGUAUGAUGUGAUCCUGGUCAUCUGAUGAAAAGUCCUGUUAAGUUAUGUUUCUGUUCUGACUGAAGCUUUUCUGACUUUAAUGGUUGAUCUAAAUGUUGUUCAAUAAAAAUUGUCAAAAUGUC